rnacentral:rRNA from 1 species
CCUACGGGAGGCAGCAGUGAGGAAUAUUGGUCAAUGGGCGGGCGCCUGAACCAGCCAAGCCGCGUGAGGUAAGAAGGUACAGCGUAUCGUAAACCUCUUUUGUCAGGGAACACAGGCGGGGACUAGUCCCCGGAUGAGGGUACCUGAAGAAAAAGCAUCGGCUAACGCCGUGCCAGCAGCCGCGGUAAUACGGAGGAUGCGAGCGUUAUCCGGAUUUAUUGGGUUGAAAGGGUGCGCAGGCGGCCUGUUAAGUCAGCGGUAAAAGCCCGGGGCUCAACCCCGGCGAGCCGUUGAAACUGGCGGGCUGGAGUUGGAGAGAAGUACGCGGAAUGCGCGGUGUAGCGGUGAAAUGCUUAGAUAUCACGAAGAACUCCGAUUGCGAAGGCAGCUUACUAAACUGCCACUGACAUUGAUGCUCGAAAGUGUGGGUAUCAAACAGGAUUAGAUACCCGGGUAGUC